rnacentral:rRNA from 1 species
UACGUAGGGGGCUAGCGUUGUCCGGAAUCAUUGGGCGUAAAGCGCGCGUAGGCGGCUCGGUAAGUCCGCUGUGAAAGUCGGGGGCUCAACCCUCGGAUGCCGGUGGAUACUGUCGGACUAGAGUACGGAAGAGGCGAGUGGAAUUCCUGGUGUAGAGGUGAAAUGCGCAGAUAUCAGGAGGAACACCGAUUGCGAAGGCAGCUCGCUGGGACGUUACUGACGCUGAGACGCGAAAGCGUGGGGAGCAAACAGG